CUUGGACUGGGUCUGAACACGCGGACGCUUGGACUAGAUUAAAUGCAGUCGCCGAUUCGAUUGCGAUAUUGAAACGAGGAAUAAUUAACGUCGCCGUGGGAGUCAUUCCAAAUCCUGUCUGCAUCACAGAAGUCGUCCAAACGCCGGCGGAUCCGAAGAUGCGCUUUUGAACGCGAGUUCUCACCCUCUUUACCUUUGAAACGCGGCACCUGGCCCAGCUCGUUACCACCUCCUCAAUAAUUCACGCACGCCUUUGCAUCAUGUUUUAUUCAUACGCUAAAGGAAAGCACGUUCUAAUUUAGCAACGGCAUCUCAUCCCAAACUCCACAGCUGUGGGCUGCGACGCGGUGACGUCACUACGACCCACCCCAGGGCUCGGGGAAGAGUGACAGGCGCCGCCGAAAGUCGGCGAUUCCCCCGACGCUUCACCGCCGCUUUAAAAACCGUCCCACGGUUCAUUUGUGUUCAGAUACUGAUAGAGAACUAAUUAGCCGCUCCCGCAGGCUAACUCAUCCGCGCGUUAUUAUGAAAAUUAAUGAAUGGACUCCUUGAUGGAUAUCACUCAGUUGAUUAUGCGCCGAGUUGCUUAUGACUUCUGAGUUCCAGCGCGUAGGCGUCGCGCUUUUGGGUUUCGCUGCUGAUCUUUACAUCGUAAAUGCAACAAGCGAUGACUUUCGACGCUGCGGCAGCAUUAGCCUCGCGCUCGCUGGAGUGAUUCUCCUCACCCAGGCCUGUUAUCUCCUCACAUUUCAUGUCGCCCCACUGUUCGUAUUUGUUUGUUUUUGAAAUGACAUAAAGCUGCUGGAAACGUUGAGGAAACCUGCUGCAACACCCAGAAAGCCGCAGCUCAUUAGAGGGCCAGAAGUCGGCCAAGAGGCAUCAAUUACCACCGAGGGACAUGGAUCAUAUUUAUAAUUACACGGCACCGUGAACCAUGAAAAUCGUAAUGUGGUUUAAUCACCAGCUGUCUGUUCCCCAAGAUCUCCACCUCUCCCUAACAAACGUCUG